GACGAACCGUGCGAACGUUGUUCGGAAUCACUGGGCAUAAAGGGCGCGUAGGCGGGCCGUAAAGUCAGGGGUGAAAUCCUCCAGCUCAACUGGAGAACUGCCUUUGAUACUGACGGCCUCGAGUGAGGUAGGGGCGUGCGGAACUGAUGGUGGAGCGGUGAAAUGUGUUGAUAUCAUCAGGAACUCCGGUGGCGAAAGCGGCACGCUGGACCUUUACUGACGCUGAUGCGCGAAAGCUAGGGGAGCGAACGGG
rnacentral:rRNA from 1 species